GUUGGAAAAGGGAUUUCCGGUUCCAAAAAGUAGCCAAGUGUGUAGCGGUUUUCCACUGUCAGAUUGAGCUGCGCCUGAGCCCAAACGCAACCGCAUCUUCGACGCUGAGAUAUCGCUGCCCAAGCGAUGUAACCUGUUCCCUGAGCAAGUCGCCCAGAAUAAGAGCAACAACCCGGUGGAAGCGCUUGUGUACUGAAAAAUUAAAGCGAGACAACAACCGACACCCAAUGCAUCCAGUCCCGAGACGGAAUCCCCCCCUGAAAGGCUCGUUCCUCGUCGUUUCCACCUACGCGCGAUUCCAGGGUAGCUCCGGUUAUGACGGAAUUUCGAUCUCUUUGGCCACCAGAGGAGCCAAUCGGUGUGCACAUUUAUGUUUUGUGAAAAUAUAAAAUAUUUUUUUAUAUA